rnacentral:rRNA from 1 species
UUGCCAGCAGCCGCGGUAAUACGUAGGUGGCAAGCGUUAUCCGGAAUUAUUGGGCGUAAAGGGCUCGCAGGCGGUUCCUUAAGUCUGAUGUGAAAGCCCCCGGCUCAGCCGGGGAGGGACAUUGGAAACUGGGGAACUUGAGUGCAGAAGAGGAGAGUGGAAUUCCACGUGUAGCGGUGAAAUGCGUAGAGAUGUGGAGGAACACCAGUGGCGAAGGCGACUCUCUGGUCUGUAACUGACGCUGAGGAGCGCAAGCGUGGGGAGCAAACAGGAUUAGAUACCCCAGGAGUCC